rnacentral:rRNA from 1 species
UUUCCCUACGGGGGGCAGCAGUAGGGAAUUUUCGUCAAUGGGCGCAAGCCUGAACGAGCGAUGCCGCGUGAGUGAAGAAGGCCUUCGGGUCGUAAAGCUCUGUUGCGGGGGAAAAAAGGCAGCAUCAGGAAAUGGGGGCUGACUGAUGGUGCCCCGCCAGAAAGUAACGGCUAACUACGUGCCAGCAGCCGCGGUAAUACGUAGGUGGCGGGCGUUAUCCGGAAUGAUUGGGCGUAAUGGGUGC